ACACUGGAUGGAGGCCCGAACCCACGCACGUUGAAAAGUGCGGGGAUGAGGUGUGGGUAGCGGAGAAAUUCCAAUCGAACCUGGAGAUAGCUGGUUCUCUCCGAAAUAGCUUUAGGGCUAGCCUCAUGCGUGAGAAUCUUGGAGGUAGAGCACUGUUUGGACUAGGGGCCCUCAUCGGGUUACCGAAUUCAGACAAACUCCGAAUGCCAAAGAUUUAUCCAUGGGAGUCAGAC
rnacentral:rRNA from 1 species